rnacentral:rRNA from 1 species
UACAGAGGUCUCAAGCGUUGUUCGGAUUCAUUGGGCGUAAAGGGUGCGUAGGCGGCGCGGUAAGUCGGGUGUGAAAUUUCGAGGCUUAACUUCGAAACUGCAUUCGAUACUGCCGUGCUUGAGGACUGGAGAGGAGACUGGAAUUUACGGUGUAGCGGUGAAAUGCGUAGAUAUCGUAAGGAAGACCAGUGGCGAAGGCGGGUCUCUGGACAGUUCCUGACGCUGAGGCACGGAAGGUCAGGGGGAGCAAAACGGG